UUCCACUCACACUUAUAAGCUGACCCACUCUUCCACCCACACUUAUAAACUGAUUUCACCUAUAAAAGCCUCCAUCCUUUAACGCCUAUUCAUCCCAAAAUCAAUUCUUCUCAUUGAGCUUUCUACUUAAUUCAGUUUCCCAAUCUUGAGCUUCUUCUCAAUCAUAUUCUACAGCAGCUGAACAAUAGAAUAAUCUCAUAAUAAUUUCAUAAAACAAAGGAUCGCCUUUUACUCAACCAUCGACUGGCUUUGUGACCAGGGGGAUUAGCGCUGCUUUCCCAAGACAGGUUUUUAUGUGUAUGAUCUUCAGGCUUUGCCUAUCCAGGUUGGCUGGCUGGUGCUGACGGGACGGAGCUGAGGCUAGAGUUAAAAUUCAUAUGUUAGACUUCCGCUGUAGCAAUUACUCUUAUACAUCUUUUGUUUUCUCAACUUAAGAUGACUUCAUGUCGAGCUUAAAUUUGAAAUUCUACUUUUAUGCUAAUGAAUGUUGGUUGUCAGAAACAUGAAACAAAACUUGUGAUCCAAAGGGGCAUAGCCCGACUUUCUAUCCUAUUUCGGGUUUUUACAAGGUUGUUCCUUGUUUAUUUCUA